UGAAGGGAGUAGGGAAUUCAGAACCGGCUUCCUUCCCGUCACCAUGGACACCCAGUCCGUGUACAGGGGGCGGGGCUUCGGAGGGGCGGGGUGAGGCUCCACAGGAGAGGGGAGGGCAAGACCAGCCCAGAGUCAAGCAGUCCCUGCUGGGAUUGCGACCCUGCUGUCUCAGCGCCCUUGCCUGGGAUCCCUGGGUUCAGGGCCUGUCCCAUUCCAGCUGGCGACGUGACAGAUCCAAUGAAUUCACCAGUGAACUGGGGACACCUCCUGACUGCACAGGAUGGAACAGCGCUCACAUGGGCAGAGGCUGGAUGGACAACUGAGAGAGCUGCAUCAGAGCAAGGGCGCACUGCACGCAGCACAAGUCAGAGAGGAAAAUGUAGAUCAAUCUUUGGAGCAAAGCUCAGCGCCCUAGGGCGCCUCGUCAUCAGAAGUUCUGGAUCUGCGAGAGGAUGAGAGAAAGGCGUCCUCACCCCUGACAGCUGUAUUUGGUGCAUUUUCUUCUCCACUACAGCAGAAGAAUAAGCAUGCUUCUCCUCCGAGCAGAUCCAGUUACCCUGAACAUUCAUGUCCCUUUGCUUGGCGUCUUCCAAAAAAGGCAAAUGUGGAAAGGCCUCGUGAAGUUUUUCUCUCCAACAUUUAAUUAUGGAAAUUUCAAAACACAAUGGAAAUAUGAAAUAAUUUUUUAUUUAACCCCAUAUUCCCACAGUGUUGAUUCUACCAUUAACAUUUGAAUGUACUUGCUUUAUGUCUAUCUGUCCAUGUGUUCAUAGUCCUUCCGUCAACCUGUCUUAAUUUUAAUCCAUUUCAAGGAAUGUUACAGACAUCAGUAACAUGUGCC
rnacentral:lncRNA from 1 species